rnacentral:rRNA from 1 species
CGAUCUUGGAAGCUUGCUUCCGAUAGGCGUCGACCGGCGCACGGGUGAGUAACGCGUAUCCAACCUGCCCACCACUUGGGGAUAACCUUGCGAAAGUAAGACUAAUACCCAAUGAUAUCUCAAGAAGACAUCUGAAUGAGAUUAAAGAUUUAUCGGUGAUGGAUGGGGAUGCGUCUGAUUAGCUUGUUGGCGGGGUAACGGCCCACCAAGGCGACGAUCAGUAGGGGUUCUGAGAGGAAGGUCCCCCACAUUGGAACUGAGACACGGUCCAAACUCCUACGGGAGGCAGCAGUGAGGAAUAUUGGUCAAUGGGCGAGAGCCUGAACCAGCCAAGUAGCGUGCAGGAUGACGGCCCUAUGGGUUGUAAACUGCUUUUAUAAGGGAAUAAAGUGAGUCUCGUGAGGCUUUUUGCAUGUACCUUAUGAAUAAGGACCGGCUAAUUCCGUGCCAGCAGCCGCGGUAAUACGGAAGGUCCGGGCGUUAUCCGGAUUUAUUGGGUUUAAAGGGAGCGUAGGCCGGAGAUUAAGCGUGUUGUGAAAUGUAGACGCUCAACGUCUGCACUGCAGCGCGAACUGGUUUCCUUGAGUACGCACAAGUGGGCGGAAUUCGUGGUGUAGCGGUGAGAUGCUUAGAUAUCACGAAGAACUCCGAUUGCGAAGGCAGCUCACUGGAGCGCAACUGACGCUGAAGCUCGAAAGUGCGGGUAUCGAACAGGAUUAGAUACCCUGGUAGUCCG